CAUAUGUGUACUGUGUGCCAUAUGCAUUCAGUCAAAAUUCUGGACAUGGAAUAGCUGGCUAGCAAGAAUACUCUUGUCGUACAUCAUUGAGGACCACAUGAUGUAUCUGAAUUAAGUCAUCCAUGUUCCCUCAGGAUGCUCCCUGCAUUGUUGGAAAAGGACCCAAUUUGGCAGUACGUCCAACCGGCCUCACAACCGCAGACCAUGUGUAACCACGCCAGCCAAGGACCUUCCCAUCCGGCUUCAGAACUAUAGCAGCGGGCAGCAGAAUCCUCAGACGGCACAAACCAAAUAGCUCCUGAAGGGCUCGGUUGGACUACAGCUGUUUGUUUAUUUAACUCCAACUUGUAAUUAUGGCUCUGACAGACUGCACCAUGGAGAAAGCCCAUAUCUGUCUCGAGUUUGAACAGAAACAUUAAUUUGGUUGAGAGUGCGCCGCAUCAGAACACACCAAGAAGAAGAAAAGAGAUGGAGAUGGAGAGCAGGGAAAACGGGGGGGGCUGUGUGUCUCUCUCUUGACGUUUUGCUGAAGUUUGUACGCCACUUGAGCCCGCCAUUUCCCUCGCUAAUGAUACCAGCGGAGCCUCUCUGGGGAAUGGCGUCCGUCGCGCACCUGGCUUUCACAUUUCCAGCACUGGAUAUUUCGGGAGGUACGAGCGAGGCCUAUGAGGUGCAUCAUUCCAAGAGCUCAUCUCGCUCUCUCUCUCUCUCUCUCUCUCUCUCUCUCUCUCUCUCUCUCUCUC